rnacentral:rRNA from 1 species
GAUGAAUGCUGGCGGCGCGCCUAACACAUGCAAGUCGAGCGGAAAGGCCCUUCGGGGUACUCGAGCGGCGGACGGCUGAGUAACGCGUGGGAACAUGCCCCAAAGUGAGGAAUAACUGCCCGAAAGGGUAGCUAAUGCCGCAUAUGAUCUUAGGAUUAAAGGAUUUAUCCGCUUUGGGAGUGGCCCGCGUACGAUUAGGUAGUUGGUGAGGUAAAGGCUCACCAAGCCCACGAUCGUUAACUGGUCUGAGAGGAUGAUCAGUCAGACUGGAACUGAGACACGGUCCAGACUCCUACGGGAGGCAGCAGUGAGGAAUCUUCCACAAUGGGCGAAAGCCUGAUGGAGCGACGCCGCGUGCAGGAUGAAGGCCUUCGGGUUGUAAACUGCUUUUAUAAGUGAAGAAUAUGACGGUAACUUAUGAAUAAGCACCGGCUAACUACGUG